rnacentral:rRNA from 1 species
GUGAGGAAUAUUGGUCAAUGGGCGAGAGCCUGAACCAGCCAAGUCGCGUGAAGGAUGAAGGUUUUAUGAAUUGUAAACUUCUUUUGCAGGGGAAUAAAGUACGGUACGUGUACCGUUUUGUAUGUACUCUGCGAAUAAGGAUCGGCUAACUCCGUGCCAGCAGCCGCGGUAAUACGGAGGAUCCAAGCGUUAUCCGGAUUUAUUGGGUUUAAAGGGUGCGCAGGCGGGUUGAUAAGUCAGCGGUGAAAGUUUGCAGCUUAACUGUAAAAUUGCCGUUGAAACUGUCGAUCUUGAGUGCAAAUGAGGUAAGCAGAAUGUGUUGUGUAGCGGUGAAAUGCUUAGAUAUAACACAGAACACCGAUUGCGAAGGCAGCUUACUGGGAUGCAACUGACGCUCAUGCAUGAAAGCGUGGGGAUCAAACAGGAUUAGAAACCCCAGUAGUCC